UACGUAGGUGGCGAGCGUUAUCCGGAUUUAUUGGGUUUAAAGGGUGCGUAGGCGGACUGUUAAGUCAGCGGUAAAAGCCCGGGGCUCAACCCCGGCGAGCCGUUGAAACUGGCGGGCUGGAGUUGGAGAGAAGUACGCGGAAUGCGUGGUGUAGCGGUGAAAUGCAUAGAUAUCACGCAGAACUCCGAUUGCGAAGGCAGCAUACCGGCGCCCAACUGACGCUGAGGCACGAAAGCGUGGGGAGCAAAUAGG
rnacentral:rRNA from 1 species